AGGGCACUAGCUCAAUUGGCAGAGCAGCGGUCUCCAAAACCGCAGGUUGGGGGUUCAAGUCCCUCGUGCCCUGCGAGAC
rnacentral:tRNA from 1 species